CGCGCAGCUGCCUGUUACGCUUCUCCAGGGUCGCCACCUUCUGCUGCAGCUUCUUGACGUGGUCCUCUUCCUCAAACAGGGCCUUCUGCACGGAGGAGCACAGGAGCUGGGGACAGACAUAAGGCGGCAGGGACAGAGAGAUGACACCAAAUGUGAAUCUGGAUGCAGACUCUGGACCGCAGAUGACCGGGACAUCAGUGUAGAUAAACAGAUCAGGCUAGCUUCAUGCCCUAACAUCCUCCCUCGUGCAAUGCUGGGUCGGAACAGCAAGCUACGCAGUCAGAAGGACCAACCACUACUCACAAUGCUCUCUGCUGCUCAGCUACUCUGUUUCGGAGGUGAGGAGUAGUAAAAUGCAUAUUCAACUUAAGACCUUUGCAACUGAGGAUUGCUUUCUUGGGAUAUGACCUCAUCAUAAAUCAAGGAGCAUCAGUGUUUGCACCACUAUGUUUAUGUGAACAUGUUCACCAGUCCAAGAUAGACUCUGACCCAAACGAGGAGGUCCUAACUAGAAAUGGAAACCAACUAAUCACCGUCAUGAAUUCUCAGAAGUAACUGACAAGAGCCAACCAGUGAAGACAAGUGAGAUAAGUUCAAGCAAGUUGUACGGAAGGGGAAAUCAAAUCAUAUGUGGAGAGAAGCACUCUGACAACUGCCAUCUACAGAUAACUGUUCAUUGUUGAGAUGGGAAUUGAUAGACUAGGACACUGGAACCAGGACCACCUUGAGCCUGAAUUGCUCUGGAUUUGAAAAUCCUCGAAUUGGCACUCUGCUCCCCCAACACCCUAGUCCUCCUGGCUGCUGGUGACUGCAGCCAGCAUGGAUCUAAAAUUGGACUCCCUUCUUUACCUACUAAUGUGAACAGUGACAUGUCUUGAAUUGGACACUGCCCCAAAGUUGUAGCACCUGAAAAAAAAAACAUGUUUGAAAUCACAGAGAAGUUUCUUUUGUUCUCCUUUUGGUUUUAGGUUUUAUUUUAUUUUUGCUUGUUAGUUUUUUGUUGUUGUUAGUUUUGCUGUUUUGUGUGGAUGUGUGUGUUGUUUUUAGUUUUUCAUUUAGUUUUUGUUCUUUUCUUCUCCUUUCUUUCUUUCUUCCUGCUUUCCUGGGACUUGAGGAAUCUCUUUUUGUCCCUCUUUGUUGCUUACCUUUUUCUUCUUUUUUGUCUUUAUUUUUCCUCUUCUCCCUUUAAUUCUCUUAUAUUUUUACUCUCCAUAUAACUUCUUCUUCCCUCUUUUUAAAAAUGUAUUUCUUACAAUUUUUUCUCUUAUCUUUACCUAAGUCUAAAAAUAUCCUUCUACUCCCCAUUAAGAUCCUCGGUACCACUUUUCUCUCCUCUUUUCCUCUUGCAUGUCUCAGUUCCCAAACUCUAUAUCUUUAAUAACAUAACCAUAAAGCUUUUUAGUAUCUUUUAAUAUUAGUUUACUUUGUAAAAUUGCUAUUGAAUUGUUUUCUAUUCCUUGCACUUAAUACUUAUUAACUUUAAAUAGAUACCUAAGUUGUUAUACCUUAUUUGCAGAUUUUGUCUCUAGCAUUAAGGGUGAUACAUAAUUGGUUUUUAUAGUAUGUGAAUAUCUAAUUUGCCUUACCUGACACUUUUGUAGCUGACCCACUUCCUAUUUAGAAGAUCACAUCACUGUUGCUAUCUCUCUAUAAGCCAACACUCAGAUUACCUUUGUGACAGUAAGAAUACUAAAGUAUAUAAAGUAUAUUCCCUUUGUUGUUGGGCUAACUACACAGCAUUGUUCCCUCCCACUUAAAGGAAAUAAUAACCAAAAAGAUUCAGGAUCUGUCAGAAGACAUGAACAAAAAGAUAGAUGAACAAAAACAAACAAAUAAACAAGAAAAGAUACAGCUAUUUCUGGGGAACUGGCAGAGUAGUGAGCGGCGGAAAAGGAUCCUCUCUAAGAUGUGAGGUUCAGACCCUGGAAUACAGCAAGACGAGGAAGACCAGGAGGGAAGUGGACCGGGAUCCAGAAAGGAUCCGAAGCAAAGAGAGAGACUGCAACAAAGAAGGAAGCAGCUAGUGGUGCUUUCUCCUCGAGCCCAGACUUUCUGAGUGGAAGUCGUAGCUCUAACCUGCACAUGCAUGGGGACCACUGGCAACUCUGGAGGCCUCCACAGAGAGAUGCACGGUGAAAUGGAGCAGACUGCACUGACUGUCAAGUUACUAGGGUUCAAAUGUCCCCCAGGUGAGGGUGAUUUGCUGGUAACCAUCUUGGAGAGAGGCCAACCGAGCUCUGAAGUCUGAGCAGCUGCAGGCUGGCCCCAUUUAGCAGCUUCCAGUGUGAGAGUGAGGCAGCAGGAAAUAAGAAGCCAAAUUCAACUUGGCAAGGAGCCGAGUUCAAGCAGGAAGGAAGGAGGUACACAGAGUGUUACAGACAGAACAAAUCACGCUCUAGACUCACGUCAGAACCUGAGACAGCCUGAAUUUGCUGGACGAAAGGUGCAGGCUUUCUGAGAUUAUAUACUCCCCACCUUAAACCUUUGGCUGGGUUGCUGGGAUUAAUCAACGUGGAUCUGGAUGUCUGCCCAUGCAGUCUACAAUGGCAGUGGAACACGCCUCAAAGUGGACUCUUUCUUUAUUUUCUUUUUCUUUUCUUUCCUUUUUUUUGUUGUGCUUUGGUUUGGUUUGGCGUUUCUUGAUUGUUUGCUCUUGUUUUUAUAUGAGAGUGAACAUGGUUUCUAGUUCUUUUGUUGCUGUUCUGUUUUGUUCUUGAUUUUAUUUCUUCCUUUUUCCUUUCCCUCCUGUCUUCACCAAUUUUCCAAACUUUGUGUAAUUUUUGUGUAUUCUUUAGCCUUGCUUCUAUUCUGUUUCUCUAUUUUCCCCCAAACCUUCUUAAGUUUUUCUCUCUUGUGGGUAAAAUUGCCAUAUUGAAGGGGUUUUUACUGUAUACAAUUUUCUGGCUUGUUUUGGAUUUUGUUAUAUAACCACAACUGUAGUCCAUAUGGUUAAAGGUGGCAAAUUAAUAGUUAACUCUGUCAUUUUCUGGGCUGUUUCAGGUUACUGUUAUUGAUUUUUGUACUAUUUUAACCAAGCUAACAUAAUUUUUCUAAUCAGUUAUUCUUUCUGAUAUACCAAGAGACUGCCUAAGAGUCAUUAACAAUACUAUAGGCCAGUGCCAAAAAACUGGGGGCUGGGUCAACUAGGCAGCAACUUCUCAACCUCAAUAAAUUGAUUAGGGAGAAUUUUGCUACAGACUCAAAACCCAAAAGCCAGCUACACCUGGAAGACAUCUCUGAGACACAGUCAUUUCUCAGGAUUUCUAAAUGCUAGUAAUAAAAUUAUUCACCAGAAGCAAUUUACAAACAUCAACCCAGGAGCUAAACUGAAAAAGAAAAAAUAGAAAAUGAGAAGAUACUUAAGAUGAACUCCAGACUUCCAGCUUACCAAAGACAGACUCAGAGGGCAAUGAGGUAAUUUGAAAGCUGUCCACCUGGAUUCUCUGAAGUGCUAACAGUAGAAAUAAUAAAGCAGAUGAAUGAGGCUCUAGAAAAAAAUCAAAUCAGAAAGGUUGUCAGAUAACUACAGAGAGUGUGACCAUAUUGAAAGACCUGUUUUGUGGCCCUAAAAAAGAUACAUAUAAAGAGGUGGAGCAAAGAUGGUAGAUAGAUAACAGCUGGCUACAGAAGCUCCCUGAGAUAGUCAACUUAGAAUCAACAUAGUACAGUGUGGGGAGCCCCUAACAGAGGGAAAUGAAUUCUCUCCUCCCAAGAAGAAACUAAGGUGAGAAGAACCAAUCAAACAUACAGUCCUGGUGCUAUUACUGGAACAGCUAAAGGUUCAGUGCUCCCGCCACAGCAGGCGACUUGCUGAGCCAUCCAAGGUCCCACCACUUCAACUCACUGGAGGCGCAGUCACACUGAGGUCAGGGGUCAGCCAGCCAAACGGAGAGAUGAGCUGGCGGGGAGCCUGCAUUGACCUGUGGUGAGUGACUGGAGUGGAGCCAUUUCCCGGAAAGAGAGGCUCCGGCGGCCAACAUUCUGGGCACGGGCAGGACUGGCAAGCACAAGGGGCAGCAGUGACUUCAGUCAGUUGUUCCCUUCCUGAACAGGAUUGGUGGAGUGAGCUAGGCCUGGGUCACCUGACCUGGCUGAGACCCAAUAGGUUAUCCAAAAUCAAUUCCCUAUGCAGCAGCACACACUAACGCAGUGAAGCCUCAGAAGUUUGACUGAUCCAGAGGGGAGGUGGUGCAUAGUAAUAUAGUGCAGGUCUCAACAGCUUGACUGAUCUGAAGGGGAGGGACCAGCAUACGUUGCCCCUGUCUGCAACUCACUAGCACACUGCAGUGGUGCUUCAGAAGAAUUGUAACUGACAAAGAAAGAAACUGGGGCCUUUUGGAAGAAACAAAAAAGAUGGGAAGAGGAAGCAACAACAAAGAGUCCCCAGGUCCCAACCCUGAAAACACUGACCCAGGACAGGAAAAUACAAAGGAGAAUGAAAACAGCAAACAUGCAAUAUCAGACACGGCACCAGUGGACAUAAAGAGAUAUCUUGGGACCUCAUAGGCAAGUUCAAAAGUGAAAUAUUUAGCCAAGUAAAGCAAGAUAUAAGAAGAUUAAUAAAAGAGAUGCUAAGCACUCCUCAAGCAGAUACAGACAGAAGAAGAGAGGAAUUCACACAAAGUAGAGAACCAUUUGAUGAAGAAUAUAAAGAAAAUAUAGAAUACAUGAAGCAGAUUCAAAGAGAUUACCAGGAAAUUAAAAACUCUAUGGAAAAAAAGACUCUAUGGAAAGAUGGCAAAUCUGCUUGAAAAAAACUAAGGAUAGAUUAUCCAAACUGGAAGACCAUUUUGCAAUGUGGGAUUAUGAAAGGAAAAACUUUUUAAAAAUAACAAGGAAACAAGCAGUAACAAUACAAAGGCUAGAAGAUGACAAGAGGAUCUAUAACUUGAGAAUAAGAAUGUGAAUGAAGAAGCAGGGGUACAAACAAAGGAACUACAAAGGCUUUUCACAGCAAUAAUUAAGGAAAACUUCCCAAACAUAGUAAAAGGAAAUGAUAUUCUGAUGUAUGAGACAUAUACAACUUCAGUCACCUACAACCAAAACAGAGCCAUACCCAGGCAUAUAAUAAUCAAGAUCCCAGAAAUUCAAUAUAAGAACAGAAUAUUAAAAGCUGUUAGAGACAAGAAACAGAUAACCUAUAAAGAAAGGCCCAUCAGAAUAACGGCAGACUUCCUGACACAAACCAUCAGGUCAAGAAGAGCCUGGAGUGAAAUAUUCCAAGCCCUGAAAGAAAAUAACCUCCAACCCAGAUUGAUAUACCCUGAUAAACUGUCUCUAGAAAUUAAUGGAGAAACAAGAUGCUUCCAAGACAAAGAGGAACUUGGGAAAUUCGCAACCACCAAUCCAGCUCUACAGAGAAUACUGCAGGGCAUUCUAGAGAGAGAGAAAAGUACUAGGAUUCCAGGAAGAGUGGCAGAGAGGCCUUAAUGAAUGGAGCAGAAAACAGCAUGAAGAAGAUAAGCAGACAACUGAUGGCAAAAAAAGAGCAUAACAGAAAUGAGGCAGAGAAGGUUGGUUAUAAUAUCUAAUACAGAUGGCCUUGAUACAUUAAAUUUAAAAAAAAGAACUGUACAUGGAGUACAUCAGGAGGCAGGGUCCACCGAGAUGCUAGUUAUAGGAAAUAUAAUUAACAUGAAAAAGAGUACAUAGACUGAAAAUCAAAUAUGAGAAAACAAUGCUCUAUGUGACAGAGAACCAGAGUAAUAGGGGCAACUAGACCAAUAUUUGUGGAUAGGUUGGAAAGACAGGCUUUAAUAGGUAAAAGAAUAUAAUUAGAGAGAAAGUCCAGGAGAGAGAAGGUUCAGAAACACUUAGGUAAAUAGCAAGUUGCCCCCCUCAAUUUAAAACCAAGGGUCUUGGUCAGACCCCAAAAUGCACAGUGUACCCUGGGGAAGUGAAAGGGGAGGGAGAGUCUUUAAAAAAGAUGGCAGAGAAUGUAUCAGGAUUUAAAAACCACAUUACUUGUACCACUCUGCUUAGAUAGAUUUUAUUCCUUUUUUUGAUAGAUUUUAUUCUGUCCCAGUUGUCUACUUGCAUUAGAUUUGAGGGCACAGACAGCUAUCCUCAAAACAUCAGGAUAUAGCACAGUAAUCACCUUUAAUUUCUUAUUAACUUAAUCUGGAGCCCUGUAUGACUUAUACUGUUUUAUCAUGACUAAUCUUAGUUAAAUCUGGUUUGUUUGUAAACCAAGUAAAAUCUGGUUGCUGUUUUGUAUCAACAGAUUUUAUUCAAAACUGAUAUGAUUGAUAGUAUCAAGUCUGAGAGUAUAGGCAACUACACUGAAGAUGACAAGACUCACUACGAUACACAUUCUGGUUUGAUAACUGCCUGCUUUUGAAGUUUUAUACUAUAUACAAAGUUGUUUUUAUUAAUACUGUAUGUACUGAUAUAUUCAAUUAUAUAUAAUUGAUAUAGUCUGAUGAUAUAGCCAAUUCUAUUGAAGAUAACAAGAGACAACACAGGAACUAUGGUAGAACUCUUUGUACAAUGGCCUUAUAUGUCUAUUUCAUGUGUUUAUAAGAAUGUGUUUUGCUUUGUCUUGCUUUGUUUUGUUUCUCCCUCUAAAACAGAAAGGAUAGAAAUACAUGUUAAGACUCAUGCAUGUGUAGAACCUAUGAACAGUUUAUGAGAACUGAUUUUAUGACACAUGAUGAAAUGAACAGAUACUUCAAAGAAAAAGGGACACUAAAGUACCCAGUGUUGAUCCUGGAGGGUCAUAAUGUGAAACCCAGCAAUAUUACUAUUCUUUGUUCAGAGUGAUAUUAGCCUGCUUGGGUUUGUUCAAUCUCAACAUAAUUGAAGAUAUGGAUAACUGCUUGUAUGUUUAAGUGUAUAAGAUUGAUAACCAUAUUUCUAAGUUUUUGUUGGAUAGUUGAACAGAACUCAUUGCAGUCUCACUGUUUGAAUCCCACUUUAUAUGCUCCACUUUAGUAUCUUGAAUAACUAUUUGUAGGAAGACAAUCUGUAAUUAUCAACUAGUGAUUUCUUACUCUUUAUUUUUUUCUUUGAAAGUAUAUAUUAUUUCUACCCAUUUUCUGUUUUGUUUAACCUUUCUUUAAAUAAAAAUUUUUUUAAAAAGACACUACAGUACCCAGUGCUGAUCCCAGAGUGUCAUGAUGUGCAAUCCAGCAAUACUAUUAUUCUUUGUUUAGAAUGACUUUAGCCUGCUUUAGUUUAUUUAAUCCCAACAUAAAUGAAGAUUUGGAUAACUGCAUGUAUGUUUAAGUGUAUAGGAUUGACGACCAUGUUACUAAAUUUUUGUUGGACAGUUGAACAGAACUGUUUGCAGUCUCACUGUUUGAAUUCCCACUUUAUAUGUUCCACUUUUGUAUCUUGAACAACUAUUUGUAAAAGGACAGUAUGUAAACAUUAACUAGUGAUCUCUUACUGUUUAUUUUUUUCUCUGAAUGUAUGUAUUAUUUCUGCCCAUUUUCUGUUUUGUUUAAUCUCUGUUUAAAUAAAAAAUUUUAAAAAGAGA